UUUUCGUAAAAUAAACAAGUUGCAGAAUCUAGUCGAAAGUAUACGUCGUUUGUGACCCACUGUGGUCAGUACCAAUUCAAGAGGGUUCCGUUUGGAUUUACUAAUUCACCUGGAGUAUUCCAAAGACAUGUAAAUGGAAUAUGUCGGCAUUUAUCCAAGAGAGGCAUUGCGCUGCCAUACGUUGACGAUGUUAUCAUCUUGGCCAGAGAUGAAGAGGAAGCUGUUAAGAAUCUAAAAGAGGUCCUCUCGAGUCUACUCACAAAGACUAUAAGCAUAUUCUGGCAGUCAUAGAUGCAUUUACGAAGUUCUGCUGGUUAUACCCAACCAAAUCGACGACUAGCAAUGAAGUUAUUACGAAGCUGACGAUUCAAAGCAUG